rnacentral:rRNA from 1 species
CCUACGGGGGGCAGCAGUGGGGAAUUUUGGACAAUGGGGGAAACCCUGAUCCAGCCAUUCCGCGUGAGUGAAGAAGGCCUUCGGGUUGUAAAGCUCUUUCAGCAGGGAAGAAACGGUUUUGGAUAAUACCUGAGACUAAUGACGGUACCUGCAGAAGAAGCACCGGCUAACUACGUGCCAGCAGCCGCGGUAAUACGUAGGGUGCGAGCGUUAAUCGGAAUUACUGGGCGUAAUGCGUGCGCAGGCGGUGAAAGCCCCGGGCUCAACCUGGGAACUGCGUUUGAAACUACAAGGCUAGAGUGUAGCAGAGGGGGGUAGAAUUCCACGUGUAGCAGUGAAAUGCGUAGAGAUGUGGAGGAAUACCGAUGGCGAAGGCAGCCCCCUGGGUUAACACUGACGCUCAUGUACGAAAGCGUGGGGAGCAAACAGGAUUAGAUACCCCAGUAGUC